rnacentral:rRNA from 1 species
AUGGCCCAGCGGCAGCAGCAGGACACCGUUAUUAGCCACUUCUCCCAUCCGUAUCCAGGGCACGAGCUCGUGAAGCGGCACUACACUGGGCCGUUCCGCUGCGACAUGUGCUGUGAAGACUUGUCCGGCGCAGGAUAUGGCUGCAGCGCAGGCUGUGACUUUGCCAUCCACGACUCUUGUGUAGGCUACUCGCAGACGUUCUCCUCCCCUCAGCAUGAAGCGCACCCACUCGUGCUCAUCCAGACCCGCCAAGACGCGGCCCUCUUGUGUGACGUCUGCCUGGGGCAUUGCGCUCCAGGAUCCUUCCUCUACCGUUGCCCACCAUGCGGGUUUGACAUGCACCCGACCUGUAGGCGGCUGCCCCAGGUUGUGCGCAGUGCGCGGCACACGUACCCGGCGCACGACCUCACACUGGUCGUCGCCGAUGGCUGCUGUGUCGCUUGCGACAAAGGCGUGGGGCGGGCAUCGUACUACCGUUGCACAACGUGCAAUGUGGACUUACACGUCUCGUGUGCAGCGACCACCAGCAACAACAUCAGCGCUCAUGAAGCUGAAAUAGCCCUUCAGGCUGAGAUUGUACGAUCAAGGAUCGCAGCACAGGGUAGACGCGCGGCGCUGGACCUGCUGAGCCCUUCUUGUAAGUUCCUCUUGCAUGCCUAG